UUCUUCCAUUUUCACUUGUUCUUCAAAAUAGACUACCUGAGACAAAUAGGAAGAAAAUACCACGUAAUAUCUCAUAAAAUGCAAUAAACCGAAAUAAAUAGUCCUAGAAUUUAAUGGAGUUAAGUCCUAAAAUAUGAUAUAAUUUCGUGUUAUCACUUAUAAUUCAAGACUGGCAUCAAGGAGAUUCACCAGUGCAAGAGACCAAGCAUUUCCUUGAGAUGAGGGCCACAUGGUUGUUCUAGAGAGCUUACAUGAACCAGGGUUCAUUUUGAAGCAACUUGACCAAGUGUUGAAGGCUCAAAGUCCACAGUGCAGUUUCAGGUCAUCUAGGCCCCAUAAAAGUCAACUGAAAGUCAACUGGGGGCUAGGAGGUGGAGAAAUGGUUUGAGACACCUCAUUCAUGUCCCAAAGAGGUUUAUUCAUCAUGUCAAACAUCUACUUUGAAGAUUUUGAAGCCAGAUCAAAAGUUUCCAAAAGUGGAAAAUGACCUGUAAUUUAAAGUUUCCAAAAAUGGCAAGUUUUUGGAUCACAUUCAACUUGACUUUCCAACAUCAAAGAAGCUUCAAAUGAAAUUUUUUCCAACAUGAAAGUUGAAGAUCUUUCUCUCCCAUUUCCAAAAAGUCCAAGAUCAUGAUCAUAUGAUGAAUGGUUGAGAAGAUAUGAUCAAAUCAUUGCCAAGUGUGCAUGGAACUUCAACAAGCCAUAACUUUUGAUCUAGAACUCCAAAUUGAGUGCCUCUUUUUGCAUAAUGCUUGUCAUGACUCAUAGACUACCUGAGACAAAUAGGAAGAAAAUACCACGUAAUAUCUCAUAAAAUGCAGUAAACCGAAAUAAAUAGUCAUAGAAUUUAAUGGAAUUAAGUCCUAAAAUAUGAUAUAAUUUCGUGUUAUCAAUAGACCCCAUCUCCUGAUCAUGCCCUGAUUGGCCCAAUGCAACUGAUUAGGGUUGACCAGUGGUCAAAACCCUAAUCUCAAGGAAUCUGCUUCAACACUUGACGAUAACAAACCAUGAUGAUGAUGAUGAAUCAUUGUAAUCAAGAUGAAGACCAAUCUCCUUGAGAAUCAUGAAACCCUAAUUUGGACCUCCACAUCCUCAGAUGAUUAAUGACCAGUCCAAUGAAACCCUAGCUUGCACAUUGACUUCCUCAUCUUCUGAAUCAAGACUUGGGAGAAUGGCUUGCACAAUAUGACCACAUGAUAUGCAAUAUGCAAUGCCUAAUGACCUAACAAUGAUAUGGAAUAUGUUAUGCUAGUCCCAAGAGAGGAGGGCAAAUUUUGAGGUGUUACACCCAUACGCAAAGUCGCUCUAGACAAGGGUAGGAGAGGCUCCCUCUCAUCAUUCCUCAUUACUUAAAAUGCAUGAUACUUCUCUUGACCGACAAGUUGUUGGUGAAGAACCUUUGUUGUUGAUCCUUGCGUUGGUGUUGAACUUGUAUGAAGAAGACUUGGUAGUUUAAUCGAUUCGUAUUGUACUAAAGUAUAUAAAUAAGGGCGAACACUUUGAAUAUUUGGGGCAUACGCCCCAUACGCAAAGUCGCUCUAGACAAGGGUAGGAGAGACUCCCUCUCAUCAUUCCUUAUUACUUAAGGCUCAUUUCAUACAAUUUAAAUUGUAUUUACCAAGUGUUGACCUUUGCAAUGCUUGAGAAGUAGUCCACUUUGCUAGCUAUGCUUGAUUGAUUUUGACUUGAAGUCUUGAUCUUGUAUUUGAACCUUGAGGUCUUGAGCGUAUACAUGAUAGCUUGAGCGCAACAAACUUGCCAUAUCAAGGGUUUUUGAUCACCUAAAAUAGACUUGGGUUUACAACAUGAUUACAAAGGAUUUGGUUGACCAAAGUGUCCUUUGGUUAACACUAAUCGAUGGGAAAAAUAAUAGUUGAAUUAUAUAUAAUAAUAAAUACUAUUAAAUUAAACAACUAUUAGACAAUUCUAGUUAAAUCCCUAAGCUAAGGGAUCAUGCAUUAAAUCAGGAAUUUCUAAUUAGAAUCCCUAAGCUAGGAGAGCAUGUAUUAAAAUCAAGAUUUUAGGCCCUGAGGGCAAAAUAGUCAUUAUGCUAAGAAAAUUAGGAUAUGAUAAUCAACAUUUAAUAAGGGACUAAUCCUAAUGACCUAAUUAUGCCAAUUUUCAAUUAACCUCUAAUUCUAAAAAUAAACUAUUCUAAAAAUUCUAAUUAUCUAAAGAUUUCUAAUAAUGCUAAUUAAAAUUCUAAAAGGUUCUAAAACUCUAAUUAAUUAGUAUUUACAUCUAAAAAUUAUUUAACCUAAUUAAUCUAAAAUCUAUUAUUUAUAAGAAUUAAUCAAGAUUAUCAUGAAUCAAAAUCUAAUCCAAAAUAUUCUGAUAUUCCUAAUUAAAACCAAAAUUCACUCGAAUCCAAUACCUAAUUGACUUUAAUUCUACCUAAUUAACUCUAAAAUUUUUUUGUAAGAAUUCCAAGAUUAAAACAAUUUUAUGAUCUAAAAUAUUAUAUCUAAUCCUAACUAGUUCCUAAACCUGAUUAUUCUAACCAAUUUAAUUAAAAUGAAUCCCUAAUUAUAAAUCCUAAUUAAAUAGAUUACCAAGAGUUAAAUAAAAGGGGAAGGUGCAGAACUUGGAAUUUUGGUGUGAACAGCAAUGGAUUAACAAACAACAAAGCCAAGAUCUGAACGCUGGGGAGGUAUAAGCCCAUGAUCCAGGGCCCAUUAACCUUUCCCGAAAAAAUCUGGAGUUAACACAAAAAAAGGAGUAUGUUGUUUGAGGGUGUAAAUAGAGGGUUUGGCCAAGAGAAGACUUGGGCCACGGGCCCAUUGCUUGUUGGGUGAACGAAAUCCAAACCCCAAGUCUGACCCACCAACGAACCCUGAAGCUACAAAAACGAUCGCAGAUUCCUCCCGAAGCUAGACGGAAUUUCACGGCCGCGGGGAGAGAACGGAAACGGGUUCUCCUGGUCGUCAUCGAGAGAGGCGUUCUCGUCUUCUCCUAAAUCCCUGCAUCAACUCAACACUUUAGAUGUCUUUUCUCCUUUGUCGAGAAUUCACACGACUCCAUGAAGCAAGUUGAACUCCGAAUCCAAGACGUUCGUCGAAUUGAAUCCGAAUUAUUGGAUUCAGUACUCGUCUUCUCCAAAUCGAAAAUGGAGAGUUCACCGAUACUUAGUUUUAUGCUAAAUCGAGGAGGAACGCGGGCGUAUUUAUCAGAUUCAUAUUGCUUAAAGAAGCAAGAGGUGGAGGGAUAACUUACCGGUUCGAAGUAGAGGAAUCUUCCGAUGCGGCGGCUCGACGGUAACGGUCUCACAGGUGCCUCGAUUCUCUUCUUCUUUCCUUUUACUCUCCUUCUUCUUAUUCUCUUCCGUAGAAGCGUGUUUGUUGCUUCUUACAUUCGCUACUGAUGCGUGGUUGAGAGAGGGUUGCGUGUGGUUUGUAGUGCA
rnacentral:lncRNA from 1 species